GCCACCAUCGUUUAAGCUAACAAAGCCCUUUUGAUUCCCUUUCUUCCUCCCAUAUCGACCUCAUCUCUCUCUCUCUCUCUCUCUGUAACUUUCUUCGUUUCUUAAUGACUGUUACAUUUUGUGUAAUCUUUAGGUCACACAUUCAAGAUUUGUAUCAAUGCAAGAAAGGCUUGAGUGUUUCUACUUCGGUGAACAGUCGGAAUCAGAAACCCUAGCCGGAGCCAUUUGUCGCCUGCACUAAAAGCACAAGGAACGAAUAGAGGAGGCAGUGGAGAAAGAGCGCAUCCAGAAAGAAAAGGAGGAAAAGCAGAAAACGGAAGCCGAAGAAUCUGAAUCGAAGGAACACAAAGAUGAAGAGAAAAAUGAUGUUGAAGAACAAAAGCAUGUGAAAUCACAAUGUUGAAGAACAAGAGCCUGUGGAAAAUAAUGACAAUGAAGCUGCAGUUCUUGAUGACUCUUCUUCAAGCCAGGAAGAAGAUGCAACCAAAGACAUUGAUGCAUUAUCAAGGGAAUAUUUGGGGCGUGAAAUUGGUUCACGAUGGACUGGAAAAAAAACAGAUGAGUUUUGCCACUUACUCUAGGCUCCAGGUUGCUAAGGAUAACGAUAUUGUUCUUAAAUAAUUACUUAAUUAGGUGGUGGAGCUGGUCAGAAUACCUACUUUAACACCAGAUGAUGCAUUGGGAGGCUGGUUUGAACCGGUUUGGGGCUGCUAUGAUAUGAAGGUUGCAAGCUUUUGGUUUAGGUUGUUUCGGUGGAGGAGGAAAUGAACCGUAAUUGAUGGAAAAGAGUGUUUUCAGGGAGUUCAUUGAUUUGGCGGAUUCGCGGCGGCAAUGGUGUUUCAGCGCCGAUAUGAGAUUUCAUGGACCAGCUUAAGGUUCAACUUGAACAAGCCUACGUUGAGGAAUUUAGGUCACACUCCGGUGAGAACUCCAGCGAACUAAGUUGGGAAAAUCAUUUUGGUUCGAUGAAUCAGGGUUUAGGUCACACUCCGGUGAGUACUCCGGCGAACUAAGUUCAUUGCAUCAGAAGACAUGAGUGUAGGUUCCGGCAAUCUACGAUUUGGUAUAAGCAAAUUGAAGAUAUGGAUCUUAGCUUUUAGAUACAACAGUAAAGCGAAAGGCAAAAAAUGAACAAAAAAAAUGACGUGAAGGUUGAUGUUGCUGGCGUUGGUGAGGCCAAAGAGGACAUGAAGAAAUUGUAGUUUGAGAAGGAAGCAUGGUUAACAAGUCCUUAAAUGUCACCAGCAAGCUCUAUCGCCGGUUUGAGUAACACCAGGUCACCAGCUCAUUUAAUAAUUUCCAUCAAGGAGCUUGGUUUACACCCUAGGCCUGGCAAAGUUAACCUAAGCAGGGCAGCAUCCUUAGGAUAUUGGUGUCCUUGUGAGCAUCAUGUUGGCUGUUGGCUGGAGAGAGUUAAUUUUUACAGCUGCAGGUAUUUGUUACUGUUUGGUUUUGUUGACGUGGUCAACUUUUUAAUUGAUUUAGUAGAAGCGGGUUGAAUGGUCAAAAGUGACCUGAAGUAUAUUUAAAUUAUUGCACCCUUAAAUUGCUUUAUUUGAGCGGGUCAAAUUCAAAAGUGACCUCAAGAGGUCUUUAAUGCAUCAAACAAGCAAACUGUUGAUCUAGGGUUCAAUGAGAAUAUAUGCAGUCAAAUAUCGAACUAAGGCUACAUAAUAUUUUGUUUUUAUUUAAUGAUAGUUUUGGUUGUUAAAGGGUUUAUUUAAUGAUAGUGAAGGGUUUCUCUCGCCUUUCGGUAUGUAAGCCUUUCGGUAUGUAAUGUAUAAUUAUUCAUUUCAUUUUAAUAGUUUCAUAUGGAUGAUGUUUUUUUAAUAUAUUAUGUGUAGAAGGCAAAGAUGCUGGAUACAAAUUAUUGUAAAUUAUUAAGCAAAAAUCAACCAUAUGUAUAAAGUAUAUACCUAUGUUAGAUAAGGAAAAGUGUAAU